rnacentral:lncRNA from 1 species
GUGAACUACAGAUUUACAAUAAAACCAUCAAGCCAUCAAAAUUGACUAUCAGCUUUAAAGGCACAAUUUCUUAUAUGUGUAGUAUAUAAAAUGUGAAAGGACUUUUAUUUUGAACCGGGAAUGGGGAUGAAGACGCAGAGAAGCAGAGACUGGGAGGGAGAUACUUUGGAGGGAGCUUGCGACUUGGUCAGCCUUUAAACAGAAACAGGGGCAUUUCGCUCGCUGCUGAGGUCUCGUUCAAAUUCUCCUCUUUCUGCUGGACGCACAUCAACUUCAGCAGUAACAGGACCCAGAUGGUGAGGACUUGCAAUAUAUACAUGCCUUUCCUCCAAAAACACCAUGUGAUCUCUGUUGUUAUGAGUUGCUUUUAGCCUUCCGUCACAGACAACAUCUACAAGUUUACCUGUUGGAUUACGGAGAGAUAGAGAGAUAGAGAGAGAUAUGCUUGGAAACACUAAAUACAAACUCAUGUGUAACGUUGCAGUUGGGGUGUGAUGUGAACUAAUGGGUGUUUACUGUAGUACAUUACUUCUCUGAUCUGCCUGUCAUCAUGUCGUAUUUGAAUGAGAGUC